AUUCACCUGACGAGUUCCAAAUAGGACGAAAUGAGCAUCCUAGAU
rnacentral:hammerhead_ribozyme from 1 species